GCGGGUGUGGCCAAGGGGUAAGGCAAAAGCUUCCCAAGCUUUCAUUCGCGGGUUCGAAUCCCGUCACCCGCUCCA
rnacentral:tRNA from 1 species